rnacentral:rRNA from 1 species
AUGAGCGCAACCGUUGGCGUGAUGUUUGGUGGAGAAAAUGAUGUCUUGGCCACACAAAUGUUUCACUUCUUGAUUGUCUAUGCAUAUCUAGCUUCCCCAUGUAGCAAGAGAGCAACAAUGACGAGCACGGUGAAUGCACCGAUGGUUAUGUAUCGUGAUCUAGCAGGGAAUAUGAUGUAUCAAAACUUUGAGUUGGAGCCGAGUAAAAAGAAAAUAAUCCAUGGAAGAGUGGCUCAACUAGCAAACACCCAUCGUAUGGUGGCUCUUGUUUUCAGUUCAGUAAAAUUCAUCCUAGAGUGUUGA